rnacentral:rRNA from 1 species
AGUAAAAGUCGUAACAAGGUUUCCGUAGGUGAACCUGCGGAAGGAUCAUUAUUGAAUUAUGUUUUCUAGAUGGGUUGUAGCUGGCUCUUCGGAGUAUGUGCACGCCUGUCUGGACUUCAUUUUCAUCCACCUGUGCACCUUUUGUAGUCUUUUUCAGGUAUUGGAGGAAGUGGUCAGCCUAUCAGCUCUUUGCUGGAUGUGAGGACUUGCAGUGUGAAAACAGUGCUGUCCUUUACCUUGGCCAUGGAAUCUUUUUCCUGUUAGAGUCUAUGUUAUUCAUUAUACUCUUAGAAUGUCAUUGAAUGUCUUUACAUGGGCUAUGCCUAUGAAAAUUAUUAUACAACUUUCAGCAACGGAUCUCUUGGCUCUCGCAUCGAUGAAGAACGCAGCGAAAUGCGAUAAGUAAUGUGAAUUGCAGAAUUCAGUGAAUCAUCGAAUCUUUGAACGCAUCUUGCGCUCCUUGGUAUUCCGAGGAGCAUGCCUGUUUGAGUGUCAUUAUAUUCUCAACUCUCCAAUACUUUGUUGUAAAGGAGAGCUUGGAUUGUGGAGGUUUGCUGGCUCCUUACUUGGGGUCAGCUCCUCUGAAAUGCAUUAGCGGAAUCGUCUGCGAUCUGCCACAAGUGUGAUAACUUAUCUACACUGGCGAGGGGAUUGCUUUCUGAUGUUCAGCUUCUAAUCGUCUAAGGACAAUUUCUUGAAUGCUUGACCUCAAAUCAGGUAGGACUACCCGCUGAACUUAAGCAUAUCAAUAAGCGGAGGA